rnacentral:tRNA from 1 species
GCAGUGGUGGUUCAGUGGUAGAAGUCUCACCUGCCAAGUGAGAUACCCGAGUUUCAUUCCUGGCCAAAGCA